rnacentral:lncRNA from 1 species
GGGAGGAAGGGUGGGCACAAUGUCGGGUCAACCAGAUCGAACCAUCCAACCUGAUAUUAGAGAGUUGGGUUGGCCUAAUAAUGAGCAACUUUUGAGUUCAAAAAAUCAUAAACCGCUUUGUAUAAGUUGGAAUUAUGAGUUAACCCGACCGAACAGCCUACUAAGUUCAUAAAAGAGUUGGUUUGGGUUGGGUUGAUCUAACGAUGAGCG